UACAGAGGUCUCAAGCGUUGUUCGGAUUCAUUGGGCGUAAAGGGCGCGUAGGCUGCGGGGCAAGUCGGGUGUGAAAUCUCAGAGCUCAACUCUGAAACUGCACUCGAUACUGCUUUGCUUGAGGACUGGAGAGGAGAUUGGAAUUCACGGUGUAGCAGUGAAAUGCGUAGAUAUCGUGAGGAAGACCAGUGGCGAAGGCGGAUCUCUGGACAGGUCCUGACGCUGAGGCGCGAAGGCCAGGGGAGCAAACGGG
rnacentral:rRNA from 1 species